rnacentral:rRNA from 1 species
GCAGGUUGAAGCGCGGGUAAGACCGCGUGGAGGACCGAACCCACCUGGGUUGAAAACCGGGGGGAUGACCUGGGGCUAGGGGUGAAAGGCCAAUCAAAUUCCGUGAUAGCUGGUUCUCUCCGAAAUGCAUUUAGGUGCAGCGUCGGUUGAUUGCAUCGCGGGGGUAGAGCUACUGGAUGCUUGCGGGCCCGUGUCGGGUACCAAUAGCAGCCAAACUCCGAAUACCGUGGAUGUGUAUUCCGGCAGUGAGUCGGCGGGGGAUAAGCUCCGUCGUCGAGAGGGAGACAGCCCAGAUCGUCGUCUAAGGUCCCGAAGCGUGUGCUAAGUGGGAAAGGAUGUGGAGUCGCAUAGACAGCCAGGAGGUUGGCUCAGAAGCAGCCAUCCUUGAAAGAGUGCGUAACAGCUCACUGGUCUAGUGGUUCCGCGCCGACAAUGUAGCGGGGCUCAAGCACACCACCGAAGACGCGGCAGCGGCCUUUGCGGCCGUUGGGUAGGAGAGCGUCCCGCGUGGGGCGAAGCGGCCGGGGAACCGUGCCGUGGACCGCGCGGGAGUGAGAAUGCAGACAUGAGUAGCGAGAGACGGGUGAGGAUCCCGUCCGCUGGAUGACCAAGGGUUCCGGGGCCACGUUCGUCGUCCCCGGGUGAGUCGGGUCCUAAGGCGAGGCCGACAGGCGUAGUCGAAUGGAUGAACGGGUGGAUAUUCCCGUACCGGCGGCGUACCGUAAGAGCCGAACGGAUGAGUACUAACCUCCGGUCGCGUGGCGUCGUUCCCUUCGGGGUUCGGGGCGCGUGGCUGUUGGGAGCGUAGUCCUGGUAGGCUAGCGCACAGGGGUGACACGGAAUGGGAGCCGGCCGCGGAGGUGGUUUUCCGUGGUCAAGCACGCAGCCCGUCCCAUAGGCAAAUCCGUGGGACGCAUAGGGUGAGGUGUGAUGAUGGGCGUCCUUUGGACGCGAUAUCCGGUGGUCCAGGCCGUCGAGAAAAGCCUCGGCGCGAGGGGCGUCGCCGCCCGUACCCCAAACCGACACUGGUGGUCAGGUAGAGAAUACCAAGGCGAUCGAGCGAAUCCUGGUCAAGGAACUCGGCAAAUCACUCCCGUGCCUUCGGUAUAAGGGAGACCCCCGGGCGUGAAGAGGCUUGCCCUCGGAGCGUUGGGGGGUGGCACAGACCAGGGGGUAGCGACUGUUUACCAAAAACACAGGUGCAUGCGAAGGCGCAAGCCGCUGUAUAUGCACUGACGCCUGCCCGGUGCCGGAAGGUUAAGAGGAUCCGUCAGCCCCUUUUGGGGUGAAGCGGUGAAUUCAAGCCCCGGUAAACGGCGGUGGUAACUAUAACCAUCCUAAGGUAGCGAAAUUCCUUGUCGGGUAAGUUCCGACCUGCACGAAUGGCGUAACGACUUCCCCACUGUCUCGACCAGGAGCUCGGCGAAAUUGCAGUACGAGUAAAGAUGCUCGUUAAGCGCAGAAGGACGAAAAGACCCCGGGACCUUUACUAUACCUUGGUAUUGGCGUUAGGCGCGGAUUGUGUAGCAUAGGCGGGAGGCUUCGAAGCAUGGGCGCCAGCCCGUGUGGAGCCGCAAGGUGAAAUACCGCUCUGUUCUCGUUUGACGUCUAACCUCGAACAGUCAUCCUGUUCAGGGACAGUGCCUGGCGGGUAGUUUAACUGGGGCGGUUGCCUCCCAAAGAGUAACGGAGGCGCUCAAAGGUCCGCUCAGCCCGGUUGGCAAUCGGGUUUCGAGUGUAAUCGCACAAGCGGGCUUGACUGCGAGAACGACGGUUCGGGCAGGGACGAAAGUCGGAGAUAGUGAUCCGGUGCCGGCGCACGGGCGCGGCAUCGCUCAACGGAUAAAAGGUACCCCGGGGAUAACAGGCUGAUCAUUCCCAAGAGUCCAUAUCGACGGGAUGGUUUGGCACCUCGAUGUCGGCUCGUCGCAUCCUGGGGCUGGAGCAGGUCCCAAGGGUUCGGCUGUUCGCCGAUUAAAGCGGCACGCGAGCUGGGUUCAGAACGUCGUGAGACAGUUUGGUCUCUAUCCUCUGCGCUCGUUGGAAU